UUCUUCCGUGAGGCAGGGAAAAGGACAGUAAUGUGGAAGAGAAAAAGUUCAUGCACCCCGUCUGAAGACCGACAGUAUAGCUAAAUCAUCCUGAUGAUCCUUCACUGGUUUCUCAAUAUUGUGUUUGCAACCCACUGUUGUUUGAGUGAAAGUUUUAGUAGUCAAGAUUUGGAACUCUGCAGCUCUACAGGUGAACUGCCAGCUCCUGAGCUGUUUCACAAUGCAGGAUCUGUUCAUCCUGGAGACACAGUCUCACUGUUGUGUGUGCUUCCUUCAAAUAAUAGCAUAACAAGAUUUUUUUCCUGCAAAGAGAAAGCCCUUGUUUCAGCCCAGAAACCAAAAUCCAGCAUGGCUGUGUAUAAGUUCCAUAUUUCACAAACCUCUUCUGAACAAUAUUCCUGUGGGUACCAACAUAAGGAGGGACUAAACCAACAGAAAAAGUCUGUCCUCAGUUUGUCCUGGAAUCUGACGGCCC